rnacentral:tRNA from 1 species
GGGGCUAUAGCUCAGUUGGGAGAGCGCCUGGAUCGCACCCAGGAGGUCGCCGGUUCGAGUCCGGCUAGCUCCACCU